UCUGGUUUAUCCUGCCAGUAGUCAUAUGCUUGUCUCAAAGACUAAGCCAUGCAUGUCUAAGUAUAAAACAAUAUACAGUGAAACUGCGAACGGCUCAUUAAAUCAGUUAUCGUUUAUUUGAUAGUUUUCUACAUGGAUAACCGUGGAUAACUUCAGAACUAAUACAUGACAGCCUUCCUGGCGUAUAUAUUAGAUACAAACCAACAGUAUGGUGAUUCAUAAUAUCUUGUCGAACCGAUCUUCGGUUGUAUCAUUCAAAUUUCUGCCCUAUCAACUGUCGAUGGUAGGAUCGUGGCCUACCAUGGUAACACGGGGUAACGGGGAAUCAGGGUUCUAUUCCGGAGAGGGAGCCUGAGAAAACGGCUACCACAUCCAAGGAAGGCAGCAGGCGCGCAAAUUACCCAAUCCUGACACAGGGAGGGUAGUGACAAAUAUAUAACGAUCCGGGGCUCUUUUGAGUUUCGGAAUUGGAAUGAGUACAAUUUAAACACCUUAACGAGGAACAAUUGGAGGGGCAAGUCUGGUGCCAGCAGCCGCGGGUAAUUCCAGCUCCAAUAGGGCGUAUAUUAAUGUGUUGCAGUUAAAAAGCUCGUAGUUGAAAUUGGGCGGCUAUUAGUUUAGGCCGCUUCAGGAAGAACUUCUUCCAGUUACUUUGAAAAAAUUAGAGUGUUCAACGCAGGUUUCGCUCUGAAUAUAUUAGCAUGGAAUAACAUAACACGACGAGGGUCCAUUUUGUUGGCUUGCAAACCCACGUAAUGAUUAAUAGGGACAGUCGGGGGGCGUCAGUAUUGUGUUUGUCAGAGGUGAAAUUCUUGGAUUUACACAAGACUAACUACUGCGGAAGGCAUUCGCCAAGGAUGUUAUUCAGUAAUCAAGAACGAAAGUUAGGGGAUCAAGAUGAUCAGAUACCGUUCGUAGUCUUAACCGUAAACUAUGCCGACUUGAGAAUGGGUACCGCUUAUACGGUAUCCGCGCUCUACGAGAAAUCAAAGUGAUCAGGUUCUGGGGGGAGUAUGGUCGCAAGGCUGAAAACUUAAAGGAAUUGACGGAAGGGCACCACCAGGAGUGGAGCCUGCGGAUUAAUUUGACUCAACAACGGGGAAACUCACCAGGGUCCAGACACAUAAGGAAUUGACAGAUUGAUUAGCUAUUUCUUUGAUUUUGUGGGUGGUGGUUGCAGGGCCGUUCUUAGUUGGUGGAGUGAUUUGUCUUUUUAUUGCUUAAUUGCGAUAACGAACGAGACCUGACCCUACUAAAUAGCUCUACUUGCGAUUGCAGGUAGCUAGCUUCUUAGAGGGACUAUCUAUUACAAGUAGAUUGGAAGUUCGAGGCAAUAACAGGUCUGUGAUGCCCUUAGACGUUCUGGGCCGCACGCGCGCUACACUGACGGAGCCAGCGAGUCGACCAAGCCCGAGAGGGCUAGGUAAUCUUGUGAAACUCCGUCGUGCUGGGGGAUCUAGAGCAUUGCAAUUAUGCUCUUCAACGAGGAAUUCCUAGUAAGCGGCAAGUCAUCAGCUUGCGUGAUUACGUCCCUGCCCUUUGUACACCACCGCCCGUCGCUACUACCGAUUGAAUGGUUUAGUGAGACCUUGGAGGGCGCGAGAUGAGGGGGCAACCCCCUUUUGAACAUCCAAACUUGGUCAAACUUGAUUAUUUAGAGGAAGUAAGUAAAAGUCGUGUAACAAGGUUUCCGUAGGGGAAACCUGCGGAAGG
rnacentral:rRNA from 1 species